ACGGAAGGCAGCAGUGGGGGCUAUUGCACAAUGGGCGAAAGCCUGAUGCAGCAACGCCGCGUGAGGGAAGAAGGUUUUCGGAUUGUAAACCUCUGUCCUUGGUGAAGAUAAUGACGGUAGCCAAGGAGGAAGCUCCGGCUAACUACGUGCCAGCAGCCGCGGUAAUACGUAGGGAGCGAGCGUUGUCCGGAUUUACUGGGUGUAAAGGGUGCGUAGGCGGCACAGCAAGUCAGGCGUGAAAACUAUGGGCUUAACCCAUAACGUGCGUUUGAAACUGUUGUGUGUGAGUGAAGGAGAGGCAGGCGGAAUGCCCGGUGGAGCGGUGGAAUGCGUAGAGAUCGGGAGGAACACCAGGGGCGAAGGCGGCCUGCUGGGCUUUAACUGACGCUGAGGCACGAAAGUGUGGGGAGCAAACAGGAUUAGAUACCCUGGUA
rnacentral:rRNA from 1 species